rnacentral:lncRNA from 1 species
GCUGUUGAUAACAACUUGCAUCCGUGUGGUACAUGUGACUAAUGUUAAUACAUUAUACACUGUUAUUAAUGAAAGCACAUGGCUGACGCUGGGAUUCACACUUUGUGGUUCCCAGGUCUGUCAGCUCUGAGGACCUCCCGGUCCACCAUCACAGGGUCACAUGCAAUAGUCUCACUGUUCUAAAACACCUGUCUUGUGCCUGUUUGUAUCUGCUGUGUCUCUCUUUCAGUCUGGUGACUACAGAUGUUUCCCUCUGUAGUUUUGUCUUUCCCAGAAUGCCAAGCAAUUGGAAUCACACACUUCAGACUGAAUUCUUCCACUUAGCAAUAUGCAAUUACAGUUCUCCCAUGAGGGACUAGAGAGAUGGCUCAGUGGUUAAGAGAACUUAAUACUCAUGGCAGAGGAACCUGAUUCAGUUUCCAGCACCCACAUGGUGGCUCACAGCCACGUUUACCUUCACUUUUAGGGAAUCUAAUGCAUAAAAAUAAAAACAAAAAAAACCCAACAACUGAAGUUCUUCCCUGAAAAGACAUGACUUUUGUAGUCAUGAAUAGACAAGUUUUGUUUUGUUUUUGUUUUUGUUUUUUUUUUUUAAUCAUUUACCUUUUAGAAAUUGGUUGCUUCUAAUUUGGGUAGUGUUGAAUAAAAUGCUAUGAAUAUUUGUGUUCAGGUUUUUUUUUUUUAACUUGAGCAAGAGUGAUUGCACACAGUAAGACUAUAUCUAGCAUUGUAGGAAUUUGCUAAGCCAUCUUCCAGAGCAGCCAUGCAUUCUGUCUGCAUCCCACCUAAGAAUGCUGUCCCCUGUCUUUCCCAGCAUCUGAUAUACUUUGGACAUUAACCAUUCUAACAGGUGUGUAUUGGUUAGCUUCCUUGGCAUCCCUGUAACUUCCUUGUGGAGGUGUAUGUUCAUUUUGCUCACCUGUGUGUGUGUGUGUGUGUGUGUGUGUGUGUGUGUGUGUGUGAGAGAGAGAGAGAGAGAGAGAGAGAGAGAGAGAGAGAGAAUAUACAUGGUGUACAUGUGUGGGGGUGGCCAUGCAUGUGUUAGGGUCUCUCCCAUAAGCCCACGGCUUGCUGAUUUGACUAGUGUAGUUUCCCAGUUUUUUUUCUGCGUUCCACAGAGUAGGACUACAAAUAGGCAGAACUCUGGUUCCUAUGCCUGUGUGAGCGAGCACCUUGUACCUUGUGGAGCUAUCUCCACAGCCUUUGUGCCCACUUUGUAACUGGGUGUUCUAUUUCUUGUUUUGAGGUUUCUGGUUGGUUGCUUGCUUGCUUGGGGUUUUUUUGUUUGUUUGUUUGUUUGGGGUUUUUUGUUUGUUUGUUUUGUUUUGUUUUUGAGACAGGGUUUCUCUGUGUAGCCCUGACUCUUCUAGGACUUGAUCUGUAGACCAGGCUGCCUUGAACUCACAUAGAUCUUUCUGCCUCUGCUUCCCAAGUGCUGGGAUUAAAGGCGUAGGCAGCUGCCUGGAUGUCUUGAGUUCUUUCGGUAUUCCUAUACAAGUCCUUUAUCAAAUAUAUGCUUUGUACAUAUUUUCUCCCAGUCUCUGCCUCCCUGACCCCUGUCCCCAUUCCUGGGAAUGAAGCUAGCUUCUUUAUUUUUUUUAUUUUUAUUUUUCCAUUGCUGUGAAUGGAUCCCAGGUCUUUGCCUGUGGUAGGCAAAUUAUUGUUUAAGAUACAUCUCAUACCCGUGGUUCAUCAUUUCAUAGGACAAAUACUUAAAGUGAUCAUGUCUUUGGAGUUACAACUAGAAGUUGGUUAACAAACUCAAGGUCACUUAUAUUCUGUGUGUAUGGGUGUUUGAUCUACAUGGUUCUGUGUACCACAUACAUGCCUGGUACCUGAGGAGGCCAGAAGAGGACAUUGGACCUCCUGGAAUUGGAGUUAUAGAGGGUAAUGUAGGUGCCAGGGACUGAACCUGGAUCCUCUGGAAAUCAGUCCAGCCAUUUCAUCAGCCCCAAGCUAGAUGAUUCUACUAUUUUUUUUCUAGAAUUCUUAAAGUUUUACAUUGUGUCUUCUAGUAUAUAAUUCAUUUUUUAAUGAAAAUUUAUAAUAUCAGUAUCAGGAUUUUUAUAUGUAAAUGUCUAGUUUUUAUAUUACUGUUUAUUAAAUGUCCAAUCUCUACUAUAUUUUAUUAUAUAUUUGCUUGUUUUUGAAACAGGGUUUCACUAUGUAACUCUGGCUGUCCUGGAACUCAAUAUGUAGACCAGGCUGUCCUGUAAUUCACCGAGGUCUGCCUCCUUCUGCCUCCCAAGUGCUGGCAUUAAAAGUGUGUACAAUU